CUGGGCCUAACAGAAGAGUCCAGCCACCUGGGAUUUCUAGGCCUUGCCAAGGGCCUGCUCCUCCGAUAGGGAAGGGCAGAGCCUAGCCAGCUUCUGCCUCCUGUUGGGCAAAACCGUGACCUUCUCUUCUCCCAGGAGAUAGGGAGGGAUCCGGCGCUCCUUCUGAAUUUUACUUACCUGGAGCGCCCGAUGCAGCCACACAUCACUUCACCGUGUCCCCACAUCCAUCGAUGGGACACGGCUGCCCCCAUCUCAUAGAUGCGGAAGCCAAAGCUCAAGGACCAGAGGGACCACCCUCAUCGGGACCGAGGGCCUAACCCAAUCAAAAACACAUCCCUGUGCAUCAUGCCCCCAGACCCAGAUGCUCCGGACUCCCACCUGUCGCCUGACUGGGAUCCCUCAAGAGCUGCUCGGGCCGGACCAGCUGCCCAGCCCAGGGCAGGCUCUGGGGGCCCCCGAGGACUGCUGGGUGACCAACGUCUGCUGCUUUCCUGGCAGAAGCCUGCUGACGCUGGGCUCAGACAUGGGGGCCACCAGGGAGUCCACCCCCCACCGCUGUGCAGCUCUGUUUUGCUUCUUGUUUGCUAACCAAGAAGUCACUUUCUGGUGUGACACCAUCUAUCUGUUCAGUCCUUAAAAAACAUGAUAUCCUACGAACCAAUGUAGGAAGCGCACCCUAAGAGGGUCUGUUUCCCUCUUGGUAAUGGAUGGAGAAACUUCUCAUAGUCGGCGAGGGAUCGGUCGUAAAAACUUCGCCUGGAAGAUUAAUGUAACAAUCAGGGGCCUUGCU